GAUGAAGAACGUAGCGAAAUGCGAUACUUGGUGUGAAUUGCAGAAUCCCGUGAACCAUCGAGUCUUUGAACGCAAGUUGCGCCUCAAGCCAUUAGGUUGAGGGCACGUCUGCCUGGGCGUCACAUAUCGUUGCCUGAUGCCAGUUUGCCCGUGAUGGGUGACUGUGCAGGGCGAAUGAUGGCUUCCCGUGAGCAUUGUUGCCUCAUGGUUGGUUGAAAAUUGAGUCCUUGGUAGGGAGCGCCGUGAUAGAUGGUGGUUGAGUGACGAACGAGACCCAAUCAUGUGAGACCCCUACCGAAUUUGGCCUUCAUGACCCACAUGCGUCUUUGGAACGCUCAUGACGAGACCUCAGGUCAGGCGGGGCUACCCGCUGAGUUUAAGCAUAUCAAUAAGCGGAGGA
rnacentral:misc_RNA from 1 species